GGCUAUUUCACUGGACAUCCCUGUGUACCUGAAGCCUUCUGAAGGCCUUCAACUGAUUCAUAAAAAAGAAAUGAGUUUGCUCUGAGAGGAUUUGUGGUUGACAAAUCCAUUCUGACUCUUAAUCACUUCCUUGUUUCCUUUCAUGUGCUCACAAAGAUUUUAUUCAUUCCAGGGUUUUUCUGGCAUUUGAAGAUAACCAUGAGGGGUUCUGACGUUAUUUCUGCCAUCCCCUUGUUUGGGUUCCUGGGAUAAAUCCAUCAGGCUCAGGCAGCGUGAAAACUUUGGAACUCCUUCAGUGUGCUGACAUCUCCUUUUGUGCUUCUGCAGAGAGAUCCCUAUGCUCUGUCACUGCUGCUUACAUCAGCCAUUGUCCACCCUUCAGCUUUUUGUUCAGAAAUACAAAAUAAGACACUGAGUGUCUUGGCCUUUCUCUUUUUUACUUCUUAAUUUGUGCUGAU
ensembl:lncRNA